rnacentral:lncRNA from 1 species
UGCUAAGUGCUCUGUGGGGAGGUAAGAGAAAGGCUGGCCUUGUGUUUCGGCUCUAAGAUCUGGGAAAGAGAGGACUCACACGCGACUGGAACAAGACGACGGAUCCGAGCCGGGGCGCGACAAGAUGGGGAAUGCCAUCCCUCCCGAGCUUCCCGUGCUGAAGUAGAAGGAAUACUGAACAAAGAAUUUCUCACAAUCCUCCUUGAAGAAAAGGUAGCCCGUCAAAAGGUAAAGGGCGGUGUGCAGAAAGGUUUGCUGAGACCAGGGAGGUGCUCAGGCUGA